rnacentral:rRNA from 1 species
GUAACUUUUAAUCGGUUACAGAAUAAAGGGGUGGGUAAGACCGGUGCCAGCCGCCCCGGUAAUACCGCACCUCAAGUGUUCGUCGCUUUUAUUGGGCCUAAAACGUCCGUCGCCUGUUUGGUACAUUCGUGGGUAAAUCAAGCCGCUCAACGGCUUGAAUUCUGCGAGGACGGCCAGACUAGGGACCGGGAGAGGUAUGGGGUACUCUCAGGGUAGAGGUAAAAUCCAGUCAUCCUGAGGGGACCACCUGUUGCGAAGGCGCCAUACUAGAACGGAUCCGACGGUCAGGGACGAAGCCUAGGGGCACGAACCGGAUUAGAUACCCGGGUAGUCCUAGGUGUAAACGCUGUGGACUUGGUGUUGGGGAUUCUACGAGUAUCUCCAGUGCCGGAGUGAAGAUGUUAAGUCCACUGCCUGGGGAGUACGGUCGCGAGGCUGAAACUUAAAGGAAUCGGCGGGGGAGCACAGCAACGAGAGGAGCGUGCGGUUUAAUUGGAGUCAACGCCGGAAAUC